CCCUAGAGUUCGGGCCGCACGCGCGCUACACUGACAGAGCCAGCGAGUCUACCACCUUUGCCGGAAGGCAUGGGUAAUCUUGUGAAACUCUGUCGUGAUGGGGAUAGAGCAUUGCAAUUAUUGCUCUUCAACGAGGAAUACCUAGUAAGCGUGAUUCAUCAGAUCGCGUUGAUUACGUCCCUGCCCUUUGUACACACCGCCCGUCGCUACUACCGAUUGAAUGGCUUAGUGAGGCCUCCGGAUUGGCUAUUGGGAGCUCGCGAGAGCACCCGACUGCCGAGAAGUUGUACGAACUUGGUCAUUUAGAGGAAGUAAAAGUCGUAACAAGGUUUCCGUAGGUGAACCUGCGGAAGGAUCAUUAGUGAACAUAGGACGUCCAACUUAACUUGGAGUCCGAACUCUCACUUUCUAACCCUGUGCAUUUGUUUGGGGUAGUAGCCUUUCGGGGCGAAUCCCUAUUCACUUAUAAACACAAAGUCUAUGAAUGUAUUUAAUUUUAUAACAAAAUAAAACUUUCAACAACGGAUCUCUUGGCUCUCGCAUCGAUGAAGAACGCAGCGAAAUGCGAUAAGUAAUGUGAAUUGCAGAAUUCAGUGAAUCAUCGAAUCUUUGAACGCACCUUGCGCUCCAUGGUAUUCCGUGGAGCAUGCCUGUUUGAGUGUCAUGAAUACUUCAACCCUCCUCUUUCUUUAUGAUCGAAGAGGUGUUUGGAUUCUGAGCGUUUUGCUGGCCUCACGGUCGAGCUCGCUCGUAAUGCAUUAGCAUCCGCAAUCGAACUUCGGAUUGGCUUGGCGUAAUAGACUAUUCGCUGAGGAAUUCUAGUCUUCGGACUAAAACCCGGUUGGAUUAAAGGAAGCUCCCUAAUCCUAAGGUCUAUUUUUAAGAUAGAUCUCAAUCAGGUAGGAUACCCGCUGAACUUAAC
rnacentral:rRNA from 1 species